rnacentral:lncRNA from 1 species
UUGAUGACACAUCACUGCACCGGAAGUCGACCGACACGAGUGGUUCAUCGCAGACAUCGAGAAUGCCUUUGAGCUCCUUGUCAGCAGCCUCCCUAAAUGCAGCAUUCACUUCCUCAGCAAAUGUCUUCUUGGUGACUUGAACGACAAGGUCCACGACAGAGACGUUAGGGGUUGGCACACGGAGGGCAAUGCCGUUGAGCUUCCCCUUAAGGCUUGGGAGGACAAGGGCCACGGCCUUAGCAGCACCAGUUGAGGUUGGAACUAUGUUGAGGGCUGCAGCUCGUGCACGUCUAAGGUCCCUGUGGCUCGCAUCAAGAAGCCUUUGGUCACCAGUGUAAGAGUGAGUAGUUGUCAUGGUUCCCUUGAUAAUGCCUAUGCAAGAAAAAAUAUUAGUUUAUGAAUUUAAGUUAUAUGCACUGACAGUAAAAGACAGUAAUGCUCGUGUAUAACUAGAUAAAGGUGUAUUACCGAAUUUUUGGUCAAGAACCUUGACAAAAGGAGCAAGGCAGUUGGUGGUGCAAGAGGCAUUGCUGAUGAUUGGUUCAUCAGGGUUGUAGAGAUCAGCAUUGACACCAACAACAUAUGUGGGGAUGUCACC